ACAGCAGUCGCCGCGGGAAUACAGAGGGUGCGAGCGUUAAUCGGAUUUACUGGGCGUAAAGCGUGCGUAGGCGGUUAUAUAAGACAGAUGUGAAAUCCCCGGGCUCAACCUGGGAACUGCAUUUGUGACUGUAUAGCUAGAGUACGGCAGAGGGGGAUGGAAUUCCGCGUGUAGCAGUGAAAUGCGUAGAUAUGCGGAGGAACACCGAUGGCGAAGGCAAUCCCCUGGGCCUGUACUGACGCUCAUGCACGAAAGCGUGGGGAGCAAACAGGAUUAGAUACCCCAGUAGUCCCUGUCUCUUAUAC
rnacentral:rRNA from 1 species